rnacentral:rRNA from 1 species
GACGAACGCUGGCGGCGUGCUUAACACAUGCAAGUCGAACGGAAAGGCCCUGCUUGCAGGGUACUCGAGUGGCGAACGGGUGAGUAACACGUGGGUGAUCUGCCCUGCACUUCGGGAUAAGCCUGGGAAACUGGGUCUAAUACCGGAUAGGAGCCAUUUUUAGUGUGAUGGUUGGAAAGUUUUUUCGGUGUAGGAUGAGCUCGCGGCCUAUCAGCUUGUUGGUGGGGUAAUGGCCUACCAAGGCGGCGACGGGUAGCCGGCCUGGGAGGGUGGACGGCCACAUUGGGACUGAGAUACGGCCCAGAAUCCUACGGGAGGCAGGAGUGGGGAAUAUUGCACAAUGGGCGCAAGCCUGAUGCAGGGACGCCGCGUGGGGGAUGACGGCCUUCGGGUUGGAAACUCCUUUCGCUAGGGAAGAAGCUUUUUGUGACGGUACCUAGAUAAGAAGCACCGGCUAACUACGUG